rnacentral:rRNA from 1 species
CCUACGGGAGGCAGCAGUGGGGAAUCUUCCGCAAUGGGCGAAAGCCUGACGGAGCAACGCCGCGUGAUCGAAUGAAGGCCUUCGGGUUGUAAAGAUCUGUUGACAGGGACGAAUAAGCAAUGCGAAUAGUUUUUUGUAUGACGGUACCUGUUUAGAAAGCUCCGGCUAACUACCUGCCAGCAGCCGCGGUAAUACGGAGGGAGCAAGCGUUUUCCGGAAUUACUGGGCGUAAAGGGCGCGUAGGUGGGCGCGUAAGUCAUGUGUGAAAACUUCGGGCUCAACCUGGAGACUGCAGUGGAAACUGGGUGUCUUGAGGGCAGGAGAGGAAAGUGGAAUGACUAGUGUAGCGGUGAAAUGCGGAGAUAUUAGGCGGAACACCAGUGGCGAAGGCGACUUUCUGGACUGUACCUGACGCUGAGGCGCGAAAGCGUGGGUAGCGAACGGGAUUAGAUACCCGAGUAGUC